rnacentral:lncRNA from 1 species
UCCAGAUCCCGAGUGAAAGGCCUGGCCACCUCUGUUGACAUGGUGAGCAGCUAAUGAACCUUUGGGAAGUUGCAAAGGGGACAGUUUGCAGGUAUCACUUCUGUCAUCGCUCAGAGGGCAGGAAUGAGGAUGGGAGAGCAGCCAUCUUAGCUCUGCUCUCCAUUUGUCUGUGAGUGUAACAAUAUGUUGAAUUUGCCAUGGGCCUUUAAAGCUUCAAUGUUGUGAAGAGCUCUGCAUGAAAUUUUAAAGAGACUGGACCUUUCAUCUGCACAACAGCAGGGCACCUCGCUAUAGGGACAAGAAAGGAAGAGAGAGAGAGAACAUUUCUGAAGUAAUAGUGAAAAAUAACAGCAGAAGCAAUUAUUUCAUCAA